CGCGUAGGCGGCCUAUCAAGUCAGGUGUGAAAGUCCACGGCUCAACCGUGGAAGUGCAUUUGAAACUGAUAGGCUUGAGUACUGGAGGGGAGUGUGGAAUUCCUGGUGUAGAGGUGAAAUUCGUAGAGAUCAGGAGGAAUACCGGUGGCGAAGGCGACACUCUGGACAGAUACUGACGCUGAGGCGCGAAAGCGUGGGGAGCAAACA
rnacentral:rRNA from 1 species